rnacentral:rRNA from 2 species
AGAUCAGCGGCGGACGGGUGAGUAACACGUGGGCAACCUGCCUGUAAGACUGGGAUAACUCCGGGAAACCGGAGCUAAUACCGGAUACUAUGUCAAACCGCAUGGUUUGACAUUCAAAGACGGUUUCGGCUGUCACUUACAGAUGGGCCCGCGGCGCCAUAUUAGCUUAGUUUGGGUGAGGGUUAAUGGCUUUCACACCAAGGCGGAACGGAUGGCGUUAGCCCGGACCCUGAAGAAGGGUUGAUUCGGCCCCACACUUGGGAACUGGAGAACACGGGCCCCAAGACUUCCUUACGGGGAGGCCAGCCAGUAGGGGAAUCUUUCCCGCCAAUGGAACGAAAAGUUCUGACGGGAGCAAACGCCCGCGUGAAGUGAUGAAAGGUUUUUCGGAUUCGUAAAAACUCUUGUUGUUCAGGGAAGAACCAAGUGCCCGGAGUAAACUGCCGGGCCGCCUUGACCGGUACCCUGACCCAGAAAAGCCACGGGCUAACUUACGUGCCCAGCAGCCGCCGGUAAUACGUAGGUGGGCAAGCGUUGUCCGGAAUUAUUGGGCGUAAAGCGCGCGCAGGCGGUUUUCUUAAGUCUGAUGUGAAAGCCCCCGGCUCAACCGGGGAGGGUCAUUGGAAACUGGGAAACUUGAGUGCAGAAGAGGAGAGUGGAAUUCCACGUGUAGCGGUGAAAUGCGUAGAGAUGUGGAGGAACACCAGUGGCGAAGGCGACUCUCUGGUCUGUAACUGACGCUGAGGCGCGAAAGCGUGGGGAGCGAACAGGAUUAGAUACCCUGGUAGUCCACGCCGUAAACGAUGAGUGCUAAGUGUUAGAGGGUUUCCGCCCUUUAGUGCUGCAGCUAACGCAUUAAGCACUCCGCCUGGGGAGUACGGUCGCAAGACUGAAACUCAAAGGAAUUGACGGGGGGCCCGCACAAGCGGUGGAGCAUGUGGGUUUAAUUCGAAGCAACGCGAAAGAACCUUACCAGGUCUUGACAUCCUUUGCCACUUCUAGAGAUAGAAAGGUUCCCCUUCGGGGGGACAAAGUGAACAGGUGGGUGCAUGGGUUGUCGUCAGCCUCCGGGUCGUGAAGAUGUUGGGGUUAAGUCCCCGCAACGAAGCGCAAACCUUGGAUCUUAAUUUGCCAGGCAUUUCAGUUGGGGCACUUCUAAGGGUGACUGGCCGGUUGACAAAACCCGGAAGGAAAAGUGGGGGAAUGAACGUCCAAAUCCUUCAUGGCCCCCUUAAUGAACCGGGGGCUAACCACCGUGGCUUCAAAGGGAAUGGGGAACAAAGGGGUUGGCGAGAAACCGCCAAGGGUUUAGCCAACCCCAUAAAACCAUUCUCAGUUCGGAUUGCAGGCUGCAACUCGCCUGCAUGAAGCUGGAAUCGCUAGUAAUCGCGGAUCAGCAUGCCGCGGUGAAUACGUUCCCGGGCCUUGUACACACCGCCCGUCACACCACGAGAGUUUGCAACACCCGAAGUCGGU